GACGAACGCUGGCGGCGUGCUUAACACAUGCAAGUCGAACGGAAAGGCCCUGCUUUUGUGGGGUGCUCGAGUGGCGAACGGGUGAGUAACACGUGAGUAACCUGCCCUUGACUUUGGGAUAACUUCAGGAAACUGGGGCUAAUACCGGAUAGGAGCUCCUGCUGCAUGGUGGGGGCUGGAAAGUUUCGGCGGUUGGGGAUGGACUCGCGGCUUAUCAGCUUGUUGGUGGGGUAGUGGCUUACCAAGGCUUUGGCGGGUAGCCGGCCUGAGAGGGUGACCGGCCACAUUGGGACUGAGAUACGGCCCAGACUCCUACGGGAGGCAGCAGUGGGGAAUAUUGCACAAUGGGCGGAAGCCUGAUGCAGCAACGCCGCGUGCGGGAUGACGGCCUUCGGGUUGUAAACCGCUUUCGCCUGUGACGAAGCGUGAGUGACGGUAAUGGGUAAAGAAGCACCGGCUAACUACGUG
rnacentral:rRNA from 1 species